rnacentral:rRNA from 1 species
CUGUCCUCAAGGAAGAUAAUGACGGUACUUGAGGAGGAAGCCCCGGCUAACUACGUGCCAGCAGCCGCGGUAAUACGUAGGGGGCUAGCGUUAUCCGGAUUUACUGGGCGUAAAGGGGGCGUAGGCGGUCUUUCAAGUCAGGAGGGAAAGGCUACGGCUCAACCGUAGUAAGCUCUUGAAACUGGGAGACUUGAGUGCAGGAGAG